rnacentral:lncRNA from 1 species
CUUUUAGCAAGAUUAAUAGAUGCUAACCUUGGGGGCAAGUCAUGAACUUGGACCCAAAAUUUAAUAAAUGAAAACUCAAUAUUUUCAGGAUUCUCACCCUUAGCUAACUGAUAAGUAAUAAACAAUUACUAAACAAUCAUGGACCUCUUAAAAUCAUCUUUUUAAGAUCUACAAGAUGAUAGAACUUAAUAAGAUAAAGGCCCCCAAACCAAUAGGUUCGAUAAUAGAGUAUGCCUAUCGUAGCAAAAUUAGUGAACUGUUCCCCAAAACUUUGCCAACAAAAAAAAAAAAAAGAUCAUAGUUGAUGUCAUCCUCCAACACAUUUUCCACGUUAAUCACCAGUUCGACUUCUUCUUUUUCCUUCAAGGGAAGGAACUGAAAGUCGGACUCCAUAACAAACAAAACAAUGAAAACAACAUAAUAAGAU